UGAGUCAGAGGAAGAAAAACAUCAUACUAUUGACCAUAAUACCAAGCCUUUCUUGUCAAAUUGCAAGGUCUAGAGGAAGAGGAAAUGCUCGAUCUGGAAUUUUUUUUUGUGGUUUCUCUCUUUUAUUCCUUCUUCUCAUUGAAAUCAAUUCAUUCAAUUAUACGGUUGUUUUCGACAGAUUCAGUUUUCUGCUUCCAAUAAAUGGAUUCAUCGGCCAAUACUGAAAUUGAUUCUACCGGCACCAAUGGAGUUCAAGCAAGUCAGUAUAUCAAUCCAGGUAACAAGAUAUCAACAGUGAAACUUACGGAUGAGAAUUUCCUUUUAUGGAAAUUUCAAGUACUGACAACCCUAGAAGGUCAUGGUCUAGAAUCUUACAUUGAAUGUGACGACGAUCCUCCUCCGAAAUUAAUUCAGGUCAGUGCUGAAUCUUCCUCUAGUACAAAGUUAAAAUCCUGCUUUUACUUAGUGGAAACGUCAAGAUAAAUUGAUUUCCUCAUGGUUACUUGGAUCGAUGUCUGAAGAAUUGCUAGAACAAAUGCUUCACUGCACCUCUGCUAGAGAAAUAUAGAAUUGUUUAUUACAAAUUUUUAAUUCCAGAAACCUUGCACAAGUGAUGAAAAUUAAAUCGAAAUUGCAAAACCUACAACAAGGAAAUUCCUCUUUGAAAGAUUAUUUUUCACAAGUCAAGAAGUGUGUUGAUGCUUUAGCGGCAGUAGGAAAACCAAUUUCUGUGGAAGAUCAUACUAUAUAUAUCCUUUCUGGACUUGAAUCUGAGUUUGAGUCUAUGAUCUCAGUCAUCGCUGCGAAGUCUGGUCCUCAAUCAGUACAAGAAGUUAUGGCGUUAUUGUUAACACAAGAAAAUAGGAAUGAAAGUAAGAAGCAUGUGAUUAGCUCUGAUGGUACACCUCAUUUGGCCAAUCUUCUUACUCAUGCUGCCAAUGUCAGAAAAGAGAAUCAUGCUCCCAGAAAUCCGAAUACUCACGGUUCUCAGAACAGAGGUAGGGGUCGAACUAAUAAAGGUGGUAAGCAGUGGACAAAUAGGAGCCGUAUUCAAUGUCAGUUGUGUGGUAAAUUUUGCCAUACUGCAGUGAGGUGUUAUUCCCAUUUUGAUCCUAGGUUCCAAGGGCCAAAUUCUUCCGGUUCUAGUGGAGUAUUUCCCUAAUAUCAAAACCACGCAUUCACUAAUGGUCCUCCUCAGAUGUCUGCCCUUUUUGCUGCUCCUGAUAUGAAUUACGAUAAUCAUUGAUAUCCUGAUUCGGGUGCCACUAAUCACCUUACCAAUAACCUAAACAACCUAUUUGUUGGCACUGCAUAUCAUGGAGGUAAUCAAGUGCAAGGAGGGAAUGGUGCAGGACCCACUCACUGGCAAGGUACUUCUCCAAGGGACUCUACAUGAUGGACUGUACCGGUUUCCCAUCACUUCUUCUCCUGAUCAUCUGCCUACAACAAAGCUUUUCCCCUCAGGUCUUAACUACUACAUCCUCUCUGGUUUUGCCCACUGCUCCCUUAUCUCAUUUUGUAUCUAUUUCUCCUGAUGAUUUGUGGCAUAGGAGACUUGGGCAUCCUGCCAUUCCUAUUGUUAGACAGGUUACUUCUUUGUAUAAAUCGAAUAAAGCAUCUAAUAUGUCAUUGACUUUUUGUAAUGCGUGUGCUGUUGGGAAAUCUCAUCUCUUCAUUUUACUCCCUCUAGUUCUGUUUACACUGCCCCUUUGCAAUUGAUUGUUUCUGAUUUAUGGGGGAUUGCGUUUAAAACAUCUAAUAAUAGUUUUAAAUAUUACAUUAGCUUUGUUGAUGUUUCUUCACGUUAUACUUGGAUUUACUUUCUUCAGUCCAAGUUGGAUGCAUUUUCUGUCUUUAUUCAAUUUAAAAUCAUGGUGGAAAAACUGUUGGGUUGUUCUAUUCUUGGGUUUCAAUCUGAUGGAGGUGGUGAGUUUAAACCCUUUAUCUCCUUUCUUCAACAGCAUGGCAUUGAUCAUAGGAUCACAUGUCCUUAUACCUCUAAACAGAAUGGUAUUGUUGAACGUAAACAUCGUCACAUUGUUGAUACUGGCUUAGCUUUGUUAUCUCAAUCCUUGUGCCUUUAUCUUUUUGGGAUGAUGCCUUUUCCACUUCUGUUUAUCUUAUUAACCGGUUACCCUCAAUAGUUCUUGGUGGAGUGAGUUCUUUGGAGAAGUUGUUCCAUUCCAAACCUGACUAUUCCUGGUUAAAGGUUUUUGGAUGUCAAUGUUUUCGCUGUUUACGUCGUUAUAAUUCUCAUAAACUUAGUUUUCAUUCCCAACCUUGCACCUUUAUUGGUUAUAGUAAUUCACAUAAAGGCUAUAAAUGUUUAUCUACUUUUGGGAAAGUGUUUGUCUCUCGAAAUGUCCUAUUUGAUAAACAUUUUUUUCCUUUUGCCACUUUUUUAAAUUCGUCCUCUUCCCCUUUGUCCAAAACUUUGUCUCAUACGUCUUCUUUGUUUUUUCCUACUGCGUUGUCUAACCCCCAACCUCUGUCUCCUAGUUUGUCUUGUCCUCUUGAGUUGUCUAAUCCCAUGUCUCCUAAUACUGCACCGGCACCUACCUCUAUUCUACCUACUGGGUCUUCUCCUAAGGUAUAUGUACUAGCUGAUGUGUCUGCUUUAAAUGGUACCCACAACAGCUGUCCUCAAUCUACUACCACUGUAUUGCCUGCUGUCGAAAAUACUGUUUUGCCUGACACAAAUGUUUUACCUAAUGGAUCUUUGAGUGGCUCUUUAUCUACUGGUUCUUUGAAUGCCACAUUUGAAUCUGAUGCUAAUAUUUCUUCCAAUUUUGAUGAGCCUACUGGUGUGAUUUAUUCCUUAACAUCUUCUUCGGCUGUUCAUAAUUCCCAUCCUAUGACUACACGAGGAAAGAAUGGGAUUUUCAAACCCAAAGUCUUUGUUGUGGAUUAUAAGGAAGUUGAACCUCAAGAUGUUAAAGAGGCCUUACGACAUGAUCAUUAGAGACAGGCUAUGAAUGAGGAGUAUAAUGCUCUUUUUUUGCAACCACACUUGGGAUUUGGUUUCUCAACCUUUACAUCAGAAACUGGUUGGAUGUAAGUGGGUGUGUAAGAUUAAAAGGAACCAUUUCGAGGUAUAAAGCUCGGGUAGUUGCCAAAGGCUUUCAUGAGUCUGUGGAUAUUGAUUAUUCUGAGACUUUUAGUCCAGUUGUUAAGCCAACAAUUAUCCGGGUUUUACUCACCUUAGCCUUAGCCCAUGGUUGGCCAAUUCGCCAAGUUGACAUCAAUAAUGCCUUUCUUCACGGUCUUCUCUCUGAAACUGUCUAUAUGGAACAGCMUAUCUCGGCUGCUCAAGAAGUUGGACUAGCAGCUCCUCCGACCCGACCCGGAGUGGAUUGACGGAGAAGGGAAGGGCGGGCAGAGCCUCACCUUGCAGUAGGAGGGUUUUCGUUGCUGGGACGGGUUCAAACAGGACUGAAGGGAGGAGGAAUUCCAUACUCCGAUCUUACUGGGGAUUCAGGCUAGGGCUUUCGAAUCAAAGCAUGGGCAUCUGCAACUAAGAGGGAGCAGUAGAUCGUCGAUUGAAGAGCCAGGUCAGYCAGUAAACUUCUAUUGAUGAGAGAUUCGACUAUGCUGGAUUUUCUGUCUCCAGCUCUUCGCCUCUUGUCUGUCGUCUCCGGAAAGCAUUGUAUGGUCUUAAACAAGCCCCCCGAGCUUGGUUUGAUCGGUUGAGUGUGUUUCUUCACUCUUUGGGUUUUGUUAACUCAAAAGUUGAUUCUUCUUUACUUUUUCGACAUACAGCCUCUCAUUGCGGCUAUAUUUUGGUGUAUGUUGACGAUAUUUUGGUUACGGGUAGCUCUAUGACUAUGAUCUUCAUAAGUAGUUUGUGUUAAAAGACCCUAACUAUGAUCUUCAUAAGUAGUUUGUGUUAAAAGACUUGGGUCGCUUGAGUUAUUUUCUUGGAAUAGAGAUUUCUUAUCCUCCUUAGGGUGGCCUUCUUUUAUCUCAAUCAAAAUAUAUUGGUGAUCUUUUUCAUAAGACUUAUAUGGCUGAGGCUCCGUCUAUUGCUCACCGAUGGUAAGUGGUCCGUUGCUAUGGCAAGGUGAGUGUUUUUCUGAUCGUUCAUCAUUAUAGAAGUAUUGUGGGUGCUAUUUAUUUUGUACAUGAUCCUGUUCUCAACAAGAAACUAUUGGUAUAUCAUCUCCCUGCUUCUUAUCAGAUUGCUGAUGUGCUUACUAAGCCGUUGUCUGCUGUCAAUUUCAAUCGUUUAAAGUUCAAGCUCAAUGUUUGGGAUCCAUCCUCCAUUGGCUUACAGCAGGGGGUGUUAAGACAAUAUUCUCUGACGUGGCAUCUUAUGUGGAGCUAUUAUUUAAGUUGAGUUUAGUUAUUUUUUUGUUAUUUCUUUAACAAACUUUUUUACUCUCUGUAAUUGCAUUAUUUUUUAUUAAUAUUUUAGGAGUUUUUAUGCCUAUCGUAUAUAUUGUCUUCACUGUAAUUGCAUUUGAGAUAAUGAGUAGAAUCGAUGGCUUUUCUCCUA